GACGAACGCUGGCGGCGUGCUUAACACAUGCAAGUCGAACGGAAAGGCCCUGCUUUUGUGGGGUGCUCGAGUGGCGAACGGGUGAGUAACACGUGAGUAACCUGCCCUUGACUUUGGGAUAACUUCAGGAAACUGGGGCUAAUACCGGAUAGGAGCCCCUGCUGCAUGGUGGGGGUUGGAAAGUUUCGGCGGUUGGGGAUGGACUCGCGGCUUAUCAGCUUGUUGGUGGGGUAGUGGCUUACCAAGGCUUUGACGGGUAGCCGGCCUGAGAGGGUGACCGGCCACAUUGGGACUGAGAUACGGCCCAGACUCCUACGGGAGGCAGCAGGGGGGAAUAUUGCACAAUGGGCUGAAGCCUGAUGCAGCAACGCCGCGUGCGGGAUGACGGCCUUCGGGUUGUAAACCGCUUUCGCCUGUGACGAAGCGUGAGUGACGGUAAUGGGUAAAGAAGCACCGGCUAACUACGUG
rnacentral:rRNA from 1 species